AUACUUACCUGGCAGGGGAGAUACCAUAAUCAUAAAGAUGGUUUUCCCAGGGUGAGGCUUAUCCAUUGCACUCUGGAUGUCCUGACACCUGCAAUUUCCCCAAAUGUGGGAAACUCAACUGUGUAAUUUGUGGUAGUGGGGGGACUGCAUUCAUGCUUUUCCCUG